UUAGUGGAUUGGGCCUCGCUGUUUAAUACUUGAUCGGGGAUACAGUAUCCUGGAGUACUGUUACUUCGUAAUUAUUUCCUUUCACUUCUCGAAAGUUCGUUAGUACUAGCCCACUUCUUGCCUUCUACUGGUUUAGGUUUGUCCUUAGCGAGUAUCACAUCAUCCACCCUCUUUUUAGGGGAUUCGUCGUUGAAUCUAUAGAGAUUAUGAAC
rnacentral:lncRNA from 1 species